GUGGGGGAUAUUGCACAAUGGAGGAAACUCUGAUGCAGCAACGCCGCGUGAGGGAAGAAGGAUUUCGGUUUGUAAACCUCUGUCAUUGGUGACGAUAAUGACGGUAGCCGAUGAGGAAGCUCCGGCUAACUACGUGCCAGCAGCCGCGGUAAUACGUAGGGAGCGAGCGUUGUCCGGAAUUACUGGGUGUAAAGGGUGCGUAGGCGGGGGACCAAGUCAGGUGUGAAAACUAUCGGCUUAACCGGUAGCCUGCACUUGAAACUGGCCCUCUUGAGUGAAGUAGAGGCAGGCGGAAUUCCCGGUGUAGCGGUGAAAUGCGUAGAGAUCGGGAGGAACACCAGUGGCGAAGGCGGCCUGCUGGGCUUUAACUGACGCUGAGGCACGAAAGCAUGGGUAGCAAACAGGAUUAGAAACCCCUGUAGUCC
rnacentral:rRNA from 1 species